CCUACGGGGGGCAGCAGUCGAGAAUCAUUCACAAUGGGGGAAACCCUGAUGGUGCGACGCCGCGUGGGGGAAUGAAGGUCUUCGGAUUGUAAACCCCUGUCAUGUGGGAGCAAAUUAAAAAGAUAGUACCACAAGAGGAAGAGACGGCUAACUCUGUGCCAGCAGCCGCGGUAAUACAGAGGUCUCAAGCGUUGUUCGGAAUCACUGGGCGUAAAGCGUGCGUAGGCUGUUUCGUAAGUCGUGUGUGAAAGGCGCGGGCUCAACCCGCGGACGGCACAUGAUACUGCGAGACUAGAGUAAGGGAGGGGGAACCGGAAUGCUCGGUGUAGCAGUGAAAUGCGUAGAUAUCGAGAGGAACACUCGUGGCGAAGGCGGGUUCCUGGACAUUAACUGACGCUGAGGCACGAAGGCCAGGGGAGCGAAAGGGAUUAGAUACCCGUGUAGUC
rnacentral:rRNA from 1 species